rnacentral:rRNA from 1 species
GAGUUUGAUCCUGGCUCAGGACGAACGCUGGCGGCGUGCUUAACACAUGCAAGUCGAGCGGUAAGGCCUUUCGGGGUACACGAGCGGCGAACGGGUGAGUAACACGUGGGUGAUCUGCCCUGCACUUCGGGAUAAGCCUGGGAAACUGGGUCUAAUACCGGAUAUGACCUCCUAUCGCAUGGUGGGUGGUGGAAAGAUUUAUCGGUGCAGGAUGGGCCCGCGGCCUAUCAGCUUGUUGGUGGGGUAAUGGCCUACCAAGGCGACGACGGGUAGCCGACCUGAGAGGGUGACCGGCCACACUGGGACUGAGACACGGCCCAGACUCCUACGGGAGGCAGCAGUGGGGAAUAUUGCACAAUGGGCGAAAGCCUGAUGCAGCGACGCCGCGUGAGGGACGACGGCCUUCGGGUUGUAAACCUCUUUCAGCAGGGACGAAGCGCAAGUGACGGUACCUGCAGAAGAAGCACCGGCUAACUACGUGCCAGCAGCCGCGGUAAUACGUAGGAUGCAAGCGUUGUCCGGAAUUACUGGGCGUAAAGAGUUCGUAGGCGGUUUGUCACGUCGUUUGUGAAAACUCGCAGCUCAACUGUGAGCCUGCAGGCGAUACGGGCAGACUUGAGUACUGCAGGGGAGACUGGAAUUCCUGGUGUAGCGGUGAAAUGCGCAGAUAUCAGGAGGAACACCGGUGGCGAAGGCGGGUCUCUGGGCAGUAACUGACGCUGAGGAGCGAAAGCGUGGGGAGCGAACAGGAUUAGAUACCCUGGUAGUC